rnacentral:rRNA from 1 species
UACGUAGGGGGCAAGCGUUAUCCGGAUUUACUGGGUGUAAAGGGAGCGUAGACGGCAUGGCAAGCCAGAUGUGAAAUACCGGGGCUCAACCCCGGGACUGCAUUGGAAACUGGCAGGCUGGAGUGCCGGAGAGGCAGGCGGAAUUCCUAGUGUAGCGGUGAAAUGCGUAGAUAUUAGGAGGAACACCAGUGGCGAAGGCGGCUUACUGGACUGUAACUGACGUUGAGGCUCGAAAGCGUGGGGAGCAAACAGG